GACGAACGCUGGCGGCGUGCUUAACACAUGCAAGUCGAACGAAGAGCGAUGGAAGCUUGCUUCUAUCAAUCUUAGUGGCGAACGGGUGAGUAACGCGUAAUCAACCUGCCCUUCAGAGGGGGACAACAGUUGGAAACGACUGCUAAUACCGCAUACGAUCCGACCUCGGCAUCGAGGAUGGAUGAAAGGUGGCCUCUAUUUAUAAGCUAUCACUGAAGGAGGGGAUUGCGUCUGAUUAGCUAGUUGGAGGGGUAACGGCCCACCAAGGCAAUGAUCAGUAGCAGGUCUGAGAGGAUGAACGGCCACAUUGGGACUGAGACACGGCCCAGACUCCUACGGGAGGCAGCAGUGGGGAAUCUUCCGCAAUGGACGAAAGUCUGACGGAGCAACGCCGCGUGAGUGAUGACGGCCUUCGGGUUGUAAAGCUCUGUUAAUCGGGACGCAAGGUCUUCUUGCGAAUAGUUAGAAGAAUUGACGGUACCGGAAUAGAAAGCCACGGCUAACUACGUG
rnacentral:rRNA from 1 species